UAAGCCCUGCUCAGAAGUCAAGAGCGGCAGCGCCGCCGCUUUGGCGCGGCCUUUCAUGACGCGGUCGCUCGGUAUUCUUGUGCCUCGGCCUCUCUGGUCGCCCCCGGACAAAGCCACCGGAGCCCGGCCGCUCCCUUCCCGCUAAAUCCUCUUCGGGGUCAAUGCGCUACCAGCACCAGGCCGCGCGCUUCUCCUGCCAGCCAUGUGGCUCUUAAAGAACCGUACCACUCCCCCACCCUCCGUCCUGCGCGCUCCCCCGACCCCCGCCUCCCCGCCUUUCUCCUCUGGAUCUAGCCCCCCACGCCGACGCCUUAGGUCCCUGCUGCCCCGAC
rnacentral:lncRNA from 1 species